rnacentral:misc_RNA from 1 species
UGAAAACUCAAUUUUUUUUCAAUGCUUAUGAGUUCAAUAUACAUAACCAAAACAAAGAAACUCUACAUUAAUGCAGAGAAAGUAAAUCUUGGUGAAGAGAAAAGAAAACAAUAGCGAACCGACUGUUCAAUCAGCUUCCUCAACAGCAGCUUCGAUUCGAAGGAGUACAAAACCAACAGCUACUCCAACAAGAACCAGAGCUGGAAUAAUAGAAGCAAUCUUGAAAAUCUCAACAGCGGCAUUGCAAGUAGAAGACAAAGCUCCGCCUUUGCCUUGUGAUGAUGAUGAUGUUGUUCUCAAGGAACUAACAAUGUUUGCAAAUGACUGUUCAGUACUCAAAGGGUGGCCUAAUGAGGCAACAUUGUUAUGUGCCUUAAGCCCUUCAAAUGAAUUCAAGCCACUAAUGUACUUCACUUUGGUUCUUUUCUGGGAACACUUGUUUGUGCCAACUCUGGCUGCUAGAGUAACUGUUGCUGGAGAGAGUGUCACUGAACCUGUUGCCAUUGCUUUCUGACCACCAACCUGGUUGUGAUGGCUUGUGGAGUGAUCUAAGUUUUGGAAAGUAG